rnacentral:lncRNA from 1 species
AUGAACUACCUAGUAAGUUCUAGACUAGUCUGGCCAAAAAAAAAAGUGUCCCAGCCUCUCAGCUUGCCCUGUGAUGCCCUGACACUGUCUCCACUUGGACAAACUCACAUGAAGGCAAGGGUAUGUAUUCCACAGGGACCAGCAUCCACAUGGAGAACAGGGUCAAGCAUGGCCCUGGAGCAUCAUGCUCUCCCAGGUCACUCCAGCAUCACAGUGCAAAGAAGCAAUCGCCUGCCAUGGGAGGAGACCACUGAGGAAGACAACAGGAUUCAGCCUCAGUCUAGUGGCCACAUUUUACCUUGGAUCUCACAUUCCAGUAUGUCAGGGUGCCAGAGGGACCUGAAGCAACCACACUUCUCUUAUCAACUUUUUCCAGCCUACCAAAAGUGGCCCAUGAAGCUUCCACUAUUAGCCCCUUGGAAUCAGGACAUUGAAUGAAUUGAUAUUGGUUGAGCACCUAUGAUUACCCAGUACCAAUCUACAGCACACCCAAUGUAGCUUGACAGUUAAAUACACCUGCUUGGAGAUUAAAAGUGAGGUUCAAUGGUAGAUCACUUGCAUGGCAGGUACAAAGCCCGGACUCCAUCCUAAACCUACAAAAUGAAAAAAAUUUUUUUCAACUCAGUUUGGAAGCAGGCCAAUGGGGAGGGCUCAGCACAGGACAUUUCCAUCAUCUCCCGGGGAAGGUGUGGCAGAUGGAAAAAAGGGAUCACCAGAGGUUAAGGGGUUUCCCAGGGACUCUCCUAGUGAUGACUUUUGAACCCAACCUAAAGUCAGUAACAGCCCACUGCACACCGUAGGGCACCUUUCCCAUCAGAAUCCGCCAUUGUUUUGAAGAGGCAUAGACAAACGCAUCCUAUAGUCUUAUAUUUCUGGUGAUUAUUGCUUCUUUUUUUUUUUAAAGAUUUUAUUUAUUAUAUGUAAGCACACUGUAGCUGUCUUCAGACAUACCAGAAGAGGGCGUCAGAUCUCGUUACAGAUGGUUGUGAGCCAACAUGUGGUUGCUGGGAUUUGAACUCCAGAUCUUUGGAAGAGCAGUCGGGUGCUCUUACCCACUGAGCCAUCUCACCAGCCCUGAUUAUUGCUUCUUUAUUGUGGACAGAUGUGCCUGGGUAUGGGCCUGGUGGCCUCCUCGGCUGGCAGUUACAGGAAUCAUCCAGAGAGAAGGAAGAUGGCAGAAACCGGAAGUGCAAUAUCGACACAAGAGGACCAGGCUGAAUUCAUCUUGUCCUUUUAUUGAAACUAACAGUGGCAGGGACUUGAGUGGUGGCCUCAGGAACCCCAACACUUUCCAUAUGAUAGCUACCCCUCAUAUCCUGGCCUCCAGAGCUGAAAGAUGACCCUGUCUCACCUACAAGACCUUGGGACACUGUCUCUGCACUCAGAAAUCUGGGCUCUGGGAAGUCAAUGCUGAGAUGUUAGAAAUGAGCUUUGAUGC